rnacentral:misc_RNA from 1 species
AAGUCGUAACAAGGUUUCCGUAGGUGAACCUGCGGAAGGAUCAUUACCGAGUGAAAAGUCGCUCGACUGUGCUGGCGGAAAUGCACGUGCACGUCGGUCGCAAAAUCUCAUCCAUACACCUGUGAAUCUAUGGCCUUCGGGUCUCUGACCCGGGGGCAACCCUUUUUACCCACUCUGUUCGUAACGGAAUGUCAUAGUGUGAUAAACACAAAUGAAACAACUUUCAACAACGGAUCUCUUGGCUCUC